rnacentral:rRNA from 1 species
GGUGCAGCAGGCGCGAAAACUUUACAAUGCUGGCAACAGCGAUAAGGGGACCUCGAGUGCCAGGUUACAAAUCUGGCUGUCGUGAUGCCUAAAAAGCAUUGCAUAGCAAGGGCCGGGCAAGACCGGUGCCAGCCGCCGCGGUAACACCGGCGGCUCGAGUGGUAACCGUUAUUAUUGGGUCUAAAGGGUCUGUAGCCGGCCGGAUAAGUCUCUUGGGAAAUCUGGCAGCUUAACUGUCAGGCUUUCAGGAGAUACUGUCUGGCUCGAGGCCGGGAGAGGUGAGAGGUACUUCAGGGGUAGGGGUGAAAUCUUGUAAUCCUUGAAGGACCACCAGUGGCGAAGGCGUCUCACCAGAACGGACCUGACGGCAAGGGACGAAAGCUAGGGGCACGAACCGGAUUAGAUACCCGGGUAGUCCUAGCCGUAAACGAUACUCGCUAGGUGUCGGCCACGGUGCGACCGUUGUCGGUGCCGUAGGGAAGCCGUGAAGCGAGCCACCUGGGAAGUACGGCCGCAAGGCUGAAACUUAAAGGAAUUGGCGGGGGAGCACAAGGGCGAAUUCGCG